GCAUGGGGACCUAGUACAGCCGGUACAUUCUUUCGGUAUUAUCAGCUCAUCUGAAGUAGUAUCAAAACCCAGUCCCAGAACAUAAUCUAUUCCAUGUUUGUUUCUUUCAGGGUUACAAGAAGCAUCCCAAAGGAGUGCUGUGUAUAAUGAGAGCCCUGACUGCAGGAAAAGGAAUGUUGUUUGUGAUGAUGCCAACAGAGAUACCCAAUCUUGGCACAAAACCAUGAAAUUGAAGCCUUUACAAAAACAGAAAACCAAGCAGAGAGAUCUUCAGCUGAUAAUGCCCUCUUUCCUGGGUAUACACAAAGCAUAAUCCUCGAUAGAUGAAUGUUUUCUUGUGAAGAGACUCCACCGUGCUGCUGAGGAGGCCUAACUGAGGCCUAACAGGCAAGUUAAACAUUUAAAAACUACACAAAGUGAUAUAUGGUGUAUAGUGGAGCAAAGUAAGUUUAAAUGCAUUGAAUAUCAAAUUCCUAGAAAAAUCAGUUAUUGUUUUAGAUUACUUGAGCCUGCCAAGUAAGUACAGCUGGGGAAAAGAUGUUGAAGGGAAGAUGUUAAGGGAAGAAUCCAAUGAGUCAGCACUUAGGGCAUUCUGAUGUUUAUUGCUUAACCUACUAGACUGUACAAGAUGUUGGCUUUCAGUGCUCUUAAGCUCUGCUCUUGAAACAGUUUCAGUAUAAAUA
rnacentral:lncRNA from 1 species